rnacentral:rRNA from 1 species
GGAAUCCGCCAAGGAGUGUGUAACAACUCACCUGCCGAAUGAAUUAGCCCUGAAAAUGGAUGGCGCUGAAGCGGGUAGCCGACACCACGCCGUCUGGACAAAGUGGUCUUUCAGAUGAGUAGGAGGGCGUGGCGGUUGUAUCGAAGCGUGGAUGCGAAUCUGCGUGGAACAGCCGCUAGUGCAGAUCUUGGUGGUAGUAGCAAAUAUUCAAGCGAGAUCCUUGAAGGGCGAAGCGGGGAAGGGUUCCACGCGAACAUUGAUUGGGCGUGGGUGAGUCGUUCCUAAGCCGCGUGGCAAUAGCUAAUUACCGGCGAAAGGGAAGCAGGUUGACAUUCCUGCACACGGAUGUGGAGACGGCGACGAUACAUGAGGCGAUCACGCUGGCGGUGGCGCUGGGCAGAGUUGUCUUUUCUGUUUGACCAUUGAAUACUUGCUGUGUGGAAUCCGCUUGUCGGGAGAAACACGCAGGUACGGGCAGAGCGCCGGGGCUUUUCCGGCGUCCAGCUCGCCACCGACGGCCCUUGAAAAAUUGCCUGCUGAACAACACUCUGUUGUUGUGAGAUCCACGCCGUGGCGUACCGAUAACCGCAUCAGGUCCCCAAGGUGAACAGCCUCUGCUCAGUAUGAACAAUGCAGGUAAGGGAAGUCGGCA